AUAUAUAUAUACACACACACACACACACAAAAAGAUAGCAUUUACUAGUCUGUGUGACCUUAUUGUAAAAGCGUUAAAUUUUUCUCUCUCUUAUGGAGAUGAAAUGUGACCUGGACAUUUUUGUGAGAUUCACCUUAUGAAGAGGUGCAGUUUGGGUAUUGAGCAAGACCUGUUGAAUUCUCCCCCAUAGCUGUGGGGCUAAACAGAUGUUGUGUCUUCGAGCGCGGCUGGCUGACAGGUUUUGGACUGCGUGGAUCUGGUUUGGUUGAUCAUCUGAAUGAUCUGCAUCAAAUCUCUCCUUGUGUUUCUACCAAAGACUGCUUCAGCCACACACACAUUUUUACAUCCUGUAUAUAAACAUGAUCACACGGUUUGGAGAGUACGUUCACUGAAGAUCCAUCGUGCUAAAUUUUAUUUUUUUAACACAAAGUAUGCAACAAGCCAGAGAUGAUCUCAACUGGGAUCUAAAACAUUAAAUGUGACUGUUACAUCAUUUGAUUUGUAUGCAUUCAAGCAGAAUUCCUCCUCCAUUCAUCUGUUGUCGAUUUGCAUCUCUGAGAGUCCGUUAUACUCGGUUCUUCUCAAAGCGGUUUGACUUGUGUGUGUAGGAGAAAUAGUUCACUUAAAACAGAACAUUCUCUCAUUAUUUACUCACCCUCAUGUCGUUCCAAACCUGCAUGACUUUCUUUCAUCUGCAGAACAUAGAAGAUGUUUGGAAGAAUGUUGGGGUCUAAACAACAUC